UCCGGUUGAUCCUGCCGGACCCGACCGCUAUCGGGGUAGGGCUAAGCCAUGCGAGUCGCGCGCCCGGGGGCGCCCGGGAGCGGCGCACGGCUCAGUAACACGUGCCCAACCUACCCUCGGGAGGGGGACGCCCCCGGGAAACUGGGGCCAAUCCCCCAUAGGGGAGGGGCGCUGGAAGGCCCCCUCCCCCAAAGGGAUGGCGGCCGAUCCGCCGCCAUCCGCCCGAGGAUGGGGGCACGGCCCAUCAGGUAGUUGGCGGGUUAAAGGCCCGCCAAGCCGAAGACGGGUAGGGGCGGUGAGAGCCGCGAGCCCCGAGAUCGGCACUGAGACAAGGGCCGAGGCCCUACGGGGUGCAGCAGGCGCGAAUACUCCGCAAUGCGGGCAACCGCGACGGGGCUACCCCGAGUGCCGGGCGAAGAGCCCGGCUUUUGCCCGGUCUAAAAAGCCGGGAGAAUAAGCGGGGGGCAAGUCUGGUGUCAGCCGCCGCGGUAAUACCAGCUCCGCGAGUGGUCGGGGUGUUUACUGGGCUUAAAGCGCCCGUAGCCGGCCCGGCAAGUCGCUCCUGAAAUCCCCGGGCUCAACCCGGGGGCGGGGGGCGAUACUGCCGGGCUAGGGGGCGGGAGAGGCCGCCGGUACUCCGGGGGUAGGGGCGAAAUCCGUUAAUCCCCGGAGGACCACCAGUGGCGAAAGCGGGCGGCCAGAACGCGCCCGACGGUGAGGGGCGAAAGCCGGGGGAG
rnacentral:rRNA from 1 species